rnacentral:rRNA from 1 species
UACAGAGGUCUCAAGCGUUGUUCGGAUUCAUUGGGCGUAAAGGGUGCGUAGGCGGCGCGCUAAGUCGGGUGUGAAAUUUCGGAGCUUAACUCCGAAACUGCAUUCGAUACUGGCGUGCUUGAGGACUGGAGAGGAGACUGGAAUUCAUGGUGUAGCAGUGAAAUGCGUAGAGAUCAUGAGGAAGACCAGUGGCGAAGGCGGGUCUCUGGACAGUUCCUGACACUGAGACACGAAGGCCAGGGGAGCAAACGGGG